rnacentral:rRNA from 1 species
AAUGAACGUUGGCGGCGUGGAUUAGGCAUGCAAGUCGCGCGAGAAGUUUCCUUCGGGAGACGGACAGCGGCGGAAGGGAGAGGAAUAAGUAGAAAUCUGCCCUCGGGACGGGGAUAGCGGCGGGAAACUGCCGGUAAUACCCGAUAACAUCUUUGGAUCAAAUGGUGUGAUUCCGCCUGAGGAUGAGUCUACUUCCUAUUAGCUAGUUGGUGUGGUAAUGGCUCACCAAGGCAACGAUGGGUAGCGGGUGUGAGAGCACGAUCCGCCUCACUGGGACUGAGACACUGCCCAGACACCUACGGGUGGCUGCAGUCGAGAAUCUUCGGCAAUGGGGGAAACCCUGACCGAGCGACGCCGCGUGUGGGAUGAAGGCCCUCGGGUUGUAAACCGCUGUCGUAAGGGAACAAAUCUAAGAGGGUACUCCCUUUUAGUUGAGUGAUCUUAGGAGGAAGGACGGGCUAAGUUCGUGCCAGCAGCCGCGGUAAAGUGACACUG